rnacentral:misc_RNA from 1 species
GAUGAAGAACGCAGCGAAAUGCGAUAAGUAGUGUGAAUUGCAGAAUUCAGUGAAUCAUCGAAUCUUUGAACGCACAUUGCGCCCUUUGGUAUUCCAAAGGGCAUGCCUGUUCGAGCGUCAUUUGUACCCUCAAGCUUUGCUUGGUGUUGGGCGUCUUGUCUCUAGCUUUGCUGGAGACUCGCCUUAAAGUAAUUGGCAGCCGGCCUACUGGUUUCGGAGCGCAGCACAAGUCGCACUCUCUAUCAGCAAAGGUCUAGCAUCCAUUAAGCCUUUUUUUCAACUUUUGACCUCGGAUCAGGUAGGGAUACCCGCUGAACUUAAGCAUAUCAAUAAGCGGAGG